rnacentral:rRNA from 1 species
UGGCAGACGGGUGAGUAACAUGUGGGUAUCUACCCUUUGGCCUGGAAUAACACGAGGAAACUUGUGCUAAUACCGGAUAAGUCUUUACGGAGAAAGCUUUAUGCACCAUUGGAUGAGCCCGCACUUGAUUAGUUUGUUGGUAGGGUAAUAGCCUACCAAGACUAUGAUCAAUAGCUGAUUUGAGAGGAUGAUCAGCCACAUUGGGACUGAGACACGGCCCAAACUCCUACGGGAGGCAGCAGUGGGGAAUCUUGCACAAUGGAGGAAACUCUGAUGCAGCGAUGCCGCGUGAGUGAAGAAGGCCUUUGGGUUGUAAAGCUCUUUCGUCGGGGAAGAAAAUGACUGUACCCGAAUAAGAAGGUCCGGCUAACUUCGUGCCAGCAGCCGCGGUAAUACGAAGGGACCUAGCGUAGUUCGGAAUUACUGGGCUUAAAGAGUUCGUAGGUGGUUGAAAAAGUUGGUGGUGAAAUCCCAGAGCUUAACUCUGGAACUGCCAUCAAAACUUUUCAGCUAGAGUAUGAUAGAGGAAAGCAGAAUUUCUAGUGUAGAGGUGAAAUUCGUAGAUAUUAGAAAGAAUACCAAUUGCGAAGGCAGCUUUCUGGAUCAUUACUGACGCUGAGGAACGAAAGCAUGGGUAGCGAAGAGGAUUAGAUACCCUCGUAGUCCAUGCCGUAAACGAUGUGUGUUAGACGUUGGAAAUUUAUUUUCAGUGUCGCAGCGAAAGCAAUAAACACACCGCCUGGGGAGUACGACCGCAAGGUUAAAACUCAAAUGAAUUGACGGGGACCCGCACAAGCGGUGGAGCAUGUGGUUUAAUUCGA